UACGUAGGGUGCGAGCGUUAAUCGGAAUUACUGGGCGUAAAGCGUGCGCAGGCGGUUGUGCAAAACAGAUGUGAAAUCCCCGGGCUUAACCUGGGAACUGCAUUUGUGACUGCACGGCUAGAGUGUGUCAGAGGGGGGUAGAAUUCCACGUGUAGCAGUGAAAUGCGUAGAUAUGUGGAGGAAUACCGAUGGCGAAGGCAGCCCCCCUGGGAUAACACUGACGCUCAUGCACGAAAGCGUGGGGAGCAAACAGG
rnacentral:rRNA from 1 species